rnacentral:rRNA from 1 species
AUGCACGCUGGCGGCGUGCCUCAUCCCUGCCAGUCGAGCGAACGGACGAGAAGCUUGCUUCUCUGAUGUUAGCGGCGGACGGGUGAGUAACACGUGGAUAACCUACCUAUAAGACUGGGAUAACUUCGGGAAACCGGAGCUAAUACCGGAUGAUAUUUUGAACCGCAUGGUUCAAAAGUGAAAGACGGUCUUGCUGUCACUUAUAGAUGGAUCCGCGCUGCAUUAGCUAGUUGGUAAGGUAACGGCUUACCAAGGCAACGAUGCAUAGCCGACCUGAGAGGGUGAUCGGCCACACUGGAGCUGGGACACGGUCCAGACUCCUACGGGAGGCAGCAGUAGGGAAUCUUCCGCAAUGGGCGAAAGCCUGACGGAGCAACGCCGCGUGAGUGAUGAAGGUCUUCGGAUCGUAAAACUCUGUUAUUAGGGAAGAACAUAUGUGUAAGUAACUGUGCACAUCUUGACGGUACCUAAUCAGAAAGCCACGGCUAACUACGUG